rnacentral:rRNA from 1 species
GGUUAAGCGACUAAGCGUACACGGUGGAUGCCUAGGCAAUCAGAGGCGAUGAAGGACGUGCUAAUCUGCGAUAAGCGUCGGUAAGGUGAUAUGAACCGUGAUAACCGACGAUUUCCGAAUGGGGAAACCCAGUGCAAUUCGUUGCACUAUCGUUUGAUGAAUACAUAGUCAAACGAAGCGAACCGGGGGAACUGAAACAUCUCAGUACCCCGAGGAAAAGAAAUCAACCGAGAUUCCCCUAGUAGCGGCGAGCGAACGGGGAGCAGCCCAGAGUCUUAAUCAGCAUUAGCAUCAGGAGAACGGUCUGGAAAGGCCGGCAGUAAAGGGUGAUAGCCCCGUAUCCGAAGGUGUUAGUGUUGUGAACUCGACGAGUAGGGCGGGACACGUGUUAUCCUGUCUGAAUAUGGGGGGACCAUCCUCCAAGGCUAAAUACUCCUGAUUGACCGAUAGUGAACCAGUACCGUGAGGGAAAGGCGAAAAGAACCCCGGCGAGGGGAGUGAAAUAGAACCUGAAACCGUGUACGUACAAGCAGUGGGAGCCCCACCACCAAAGCAUUUUCUGGUGUUGAGGACAACUUUGAAGUGACAUUCAACACGCGUUGGCGGAGCGUUUUUUGCGACGCCCAACACACAAAACAAGCAGUGAAUGUGCUUUGGGGUGGGGUGACUGCGUACCUUUUGUAUAAUGGGUCAGCGACUUAUAUUCUGUAGCAAGGUUAACCGUAUAGGGGAGCCGUAGGGAAACCGAGUCUUAACUGGGCGAAUGAGUUGCAGGGUAUAGACCCGAAACCCGGUGAUCUAGCCAUGGGCAGGUUGAAGGUUGGGUAACACUAACUGGAGGACCGAACCGACUAAUGUUGAAAAAUUAGCGGAUGACUUGUGGCUGGGGGUGAAAGGCCAAUCAAACCGGGAGAUAGCUGGUUCUCCCCGAAAGCUAUUUAGGUAGCGCCUCGUGAACUCAUCUUCGGGGGUAGAGCACUGUUUCGACUAGGGGGUCAUCCCGACUUACCAACUCGAUGCAAACUACGAAUACCGAAGAAUGUUAUCACGGGAGACACACGGCGGGUGCUAACGUUCGUCGUGAAGAGGGAAACAACCCAGACCGCCAGCUAAGGUCCCAAAGUCAUAGUUAAGUGGGAAACGAAGUGGGAAGGCUCAGACAGCCAGGAUGUUGGCUUAGAAGCAGCCAUCAUUUAAAGAAAGCGUAAUAGCUCACUGGUCGAGUCGGCCUGCGCGGAAGAUGUAACGGGGCUAAACUAUGCACCGAAGCUGCGGCAGCGAUAUGUAAAUAUUGUUGGGUAGGGGAGCGUUCUGUAAGCCUGUGAAGGUGUACUGCGAGGUAUGCUGGAGGUAUCAGAAGUGCGAAUGCUGACAUAAGUAACGAUAAUGCGGGUGAAAAACCCGCACGCCGGAAGACCAAGGGUUCCUGUCCAACGUUAAUCGGGGCAGGGUGAGUCGACCCCUAAGGCGAGGCAGAAAUGCGUAGUCGAUGGGAAACGGGUUAAUAUUCCCGUACUGGUGAUAAUUGCGAUGGGGGGACGGAGAAGGCUAGGCUAUCCGGGCGACGGUUGUCCCGGUUUAAGGAUGUAGGCAGGUGAAUUAGGCAAAUCCGGUUCACUAUAUGCUGAGGUCCGACGACGAGUCACUACGGUGAUGAAGUAGCUCAUGCCCCGCUUCCAGGAAAAGCCUCUAAGCUCUAGAUUAUCAUUAAUCGUACCCCAAACCGACACAGGUGGUCAGGUAGAGAAUACUCAGGCGCUUGAGAGAACUCGGGUGAAGGAACUAGGCAAAAUGGUGCCGUAACUUCGGGAGAAGGCACGCUGGCGCUAGGUGAAGUCCCUCGCGGAUGGAGCUGAAGCCAGUCGCAGAUACCAGCUGGCUGCAACUGUUUAUUAAAAACACAGCACUGUGCAAACACGAAAGUGGACGUAUACGGUGUGACGCCUGCCCGGUGCUGGAAGGUUAAUUGAUGGGGUUAUCCGUAAGGAGAAGCUCUUGAUCGAAGCCCCAGUAAACGGCGGCCGUAACUAUAACGGUCCUAAGGUAGCGAAAUUCCUUGUCGGGUAAGUUCCGACCUGCACGAAUGGCGUAAUGAUGGCCAGGCUGUCUCCACCCGAGACUCAGUGAAAUUGAACUCGCUGUGAAGAUGCAGUGUACCCGCGGCAAGACGGAAAGACCCCGUGAACCUUUACUAUAGCUUGACACUGAACAUUGAGCCUUGAUGUGUAGGAUAGGUGGGAGGCUUUGAAGUGUGGACGCCAGUCUGCAUGGAGCCAACCUUGAAAUACCACCCUUUAAUGUUUGAUGUUCUAACGUAGCCCCGUUAUCCGGGGUGCGGACAGUGUCUGGUGGGUAGUUUGACUGGGGCGGUCUCCUCCCAAAGAGUAACGGAGGAGCACGAAGGUUGGCUAAGCAUGGUCGGACAUCAUGCGGUUAGUGCAAAGGCAUAAGCCAGCUUGACUGCGAGAGUGACGGCUCGAGCAGGUACGAAAGUAGGUCUUAGUGAUCCGGUGGUUCUGAAUGGAAGGGCCAUCGCUCAACGGAUAAAAGGUACUCCGGGGAUAACAGGCUGAUACCGCCCAAGAGUUCAUAUCGACGGCGGUGUUUGGCACCUCGAUGUCGGCUCAUCACAUCCUGGGGCUGAAGUAGGUCCCAAGGGUACGGCUGUUCGCCGUUUAAAGUGGUACGCGAGCUGGGUUUAGAACGUCGUGAGACAGUUCGGUCCCUAUCUGCCGUGGGCGUUGGAAGAUUGAAAGGGGCUGCUCCUAGUACGAGAGGACCGGAGUGGACGCACCACUGGUGUUCGGGUUGUCAUGCCAAUGGCAUUGCCCGGUAGCUAAGUGCGGAAGAGAUAACCGCUGAAAGCAUCUAAGCGGGAAACUUGCCUUGAGAUGAGUCUUCCCUGACCCUUAAAGGGUCCUAAAGGAACGUUUAAGACUAAGACGUUGAUAGGUUGGGUGUGUAAGCGUAGCGAUACGUUGAGCUAACCAAUACUAAUGAACCGUGAGGCUUAACCUG